UACGUAGGUGGCAAGCGUUGUCCGGAUUUACUGGGCGUAAAGAGCGCGCAGGCGGUCGUUCAAGUCGCGUGUGAAAGCCCCCGGCUCAACUGGGGAGGGUCACGCGAUACUGAUCGACUCGAAGGCAGGAGAGGGAAGUGGAAUUCCCGGUGUAGUGGUGAAAUGCGUAGAGAUCGGGAGGAACACCCGUGGCGAAGGCGGCUCACUGGGCUGACCUUGACGCUGAGGCGCGAAGGCGUGGGGAGCGAACGGG
rnacentral:rRNA from 1 species